GACGAACGCUGGCGGCGUGCUUAACACAUGCAAGUCGAACGGAAAGGCCCUGCUUUUGUGGGGUGCUCGAGUGGCGAACGGGUGAGUAACACGUGAGUAACCUGCCCUUGACUUUGGGAUAACUUCAGGAAACUGGGGCUAAUACCGGAUAGGAGCUCCUGCUGCAUGGUGGGGGUUGGAAAGUUUCGGCGGUUGGGGAUGGACUCGCGGCUUAUCAGCUUGUUGGUGGGGUAGUGGCUUACCAAGGCUUUGACGGGUAGCCGGCCUGAGAGGGUGACCGGCCACAUUGGGACUGAGAUACGGCCCAGACUCCUACGGGAGGCAGCAGUGGGGAAUAUUGCACAAUGGGCGGAAGCCUGAUGCAGCAACGCCGCGUGCGGGAUGACGGCCUCGGUUGUAACCGCUUCGCCUGUGACGAAGCGUGAGUGACGGUAAGUGGGUAAGAAGACACCGGCUAACUACGUGCCAGCAGCCGCGGUAAAGUGUGUGUA
rnacentral:rRNA from 1 species